CAUAAUUGCUAUUAUAUGAUGAGUUUGAUGCCGUUUCGAUUUUGUUCGCAGCGUGAAUGCGAUCGAGCCUUGGAUCAUCGUUAGUUGACUUGUGAGAGCUCUUGGAGACUUAUUUUGAGCAGGGUUGGAGCCGACUUUUUUCGACUUCUUGUGAUUAUUGGGAGCAUAGUACUAGAGCCAUCUACAGGAGAGGCUAGGGAUCGUGGCAA